CCACCCUUUGCGGCGUGCUACACAUGCAAGUCGAACGAGAAAGUGAUUCAGUGGCGAACGGGUGCUUAACGCGUGGGCAACCUGCCGAGAAGUGGGGGAUAGCUCGCCGAAAGGCGAAUUAAUACCGCAUGUGAUCAGCGGAGACAUCUUCGCGAAAUCAAAGCCGGGGCAACCUGGCGCUUCUAGAGGGGCCCGCGGCCUAUCAGCUUGUUGGUGAGGUAACGGCUCACCAAGGCUUUGACGGGUAGCUGGUCUGAGAGGACGACCAGCCACACUGGGACUGAGACACGGCCCAGACACCUACGGGUGGCAGCAGUCGAGAAUUUUUGACAAUGGGGGAAACCCUGAUCGAGCGACGCCGCGUGGAGGAUGAAGGUCUUCGGGUUGUAAACUCCUGUCAUUUGGGAACAAUGGUCACGCGUUAACUGCGCGCGACUUGAUAGUACCAGAAGAGGAAGAGACGGCUAACUCUGUGCCAGCAGCCGCGGUAAUACAGAGGUCUCAAGCGUUGUUCGGACUCAUUGGGCGUAAAGGGUGCGUAGGCGGCGCGGUAAGUCGGGUGUGAAAUCUCGGAGCUUAACUCCGAAACUGCAUUCGAUACUGCCGUGCUUGAGGACUGGAGAGGAGACUGGAAUUUACGGUGUAGCAGUGAAAUGCGUAGAUAUCGUAAAGGAAGACCAGUGGCGAAGGCGGGGUCUCUGGACAGUUCCUGACGCUGAGGCA
rnacentral:rRNA from 1 species